GGCUCCGGUGGCGCACGCGACUGAAAGCCAAGGACGGACCUGGGGAAAGAACCCCACCAAGCCCCACCCCUCCCGCCCGCGCCCCCAUGCUCACUCGGCCGGGUGAAUAUGCCCGAGGCAGCUGGAUUUCGCGGCCCCUGGCGGCUCUACGCUCAGCGCAACACGACACAACCGCAGACAUGCGACGGCCCUCGCCGGGACUGGCAUCCCAGUGCGAGGGCCUGACCACCGAGGAAGUAGGAGCUUCCCG
rnacentral:ncRNA from 1 species